rnacentral:lncRNA from 1 species
CAAACAUGAUGGAAAGAAAAAAAUGCAACCCCACCCCACCCAUGUCAACAAAGGCUGAACAGGGAAUCUAGAUUCCACCCGCAACCAGCAGUAAAGACAGAUCCCUCCUCUCCAUGUUGCUGUGGUAUCAGAGGAGGACUAGUACAGGGUCAGGACUUCCACUACUGUGCUUUGUCAGUGGAGACCAUGUGGGGUGCAGGGAUGAGAUAGUCCUGUCCUUCUCAGCCAGUAUUUUACAAUGUUUUGACAUCUUAAAAGCUUGCUGACCAGAGAGACUGUCCCAUCCAGCGAAAGCCAGUUUUCAGAGACAGCAAAGGACUCACUGGGCGUGUCUUUCAAACGCAAACCAACCAAUCUUGGGUACCAGGCAAUUAGAGACCACUCCUACAGCCCCAAACCCUAUGUGUCUCAGAGUGCUUUCGGGCCAAGUGGCCCUACAUGAUGAGCAUCCUUCAUGACUUAGCAAAUAUUUUU